AGACAUCGUUUUUCUUUUUUCCCCUUUUACAGAACUAAAUGUAAGGGAGUCUGAAGUAAGAGUGUGUGAUGAAUCAUCAUGUAAAUAUGGGGGAGUAUGUAAAGAAGAUGGAGAUGGCUUGAAAUGUGCAUGUCAGUUUCAGUGUCAUACAAAUUACAUUCCUGUUUGUGGAUCAAAUGGAGACACUUACCAAAAUGAAUGCUUCCUCAGGAGAGCUGCUUGUAAGCAUCAGAAAGAGAUAACAGUGGUAGCAAGAGGACCUUGUUAUUCUGAUAAUGGUUCUGGAUCAGGAGAAGGGGAGUAUGAAGGAUCUGGAACUGAAGUUCACAGAAAGCACUCCAAAUGUGGGGCUUGCAAAUACAGGGCUGAGUGUGAUGAAGAUGCAGAAAAUGUUGGGUGUGUAUGUAAUAUAGACUGCAGUGGGUACAGUUUUAAUCCUGUAUGUGCUUCUGAUGGAAGUUCUUACAACAAUCCAUGUUUUGUUCGAGAAGCAUCGUGUUUGAGGCAAGAACAGAUUGACAUAAGACACCUUGGACACUGCUCAGAAACAGAUGACACCAGCUCAGCAUGAAAGAAAGAUGAUGGAAUGCAGUA